UUUUGAUUUAGCGGAUAAAGACUUAAAAGCCAUGAGAGCGGUAAAUUUCCAGUUGUGUCACUCAACGUAUGAGCUCGAGGCUGGGGCAUUCACCGUGGUUCCGGACCUUCUGCCAAUAGGACCACUUUUGGCAAGCAACCGUCUAGGGAAUACAGCAGGACACUUCUGGCGCGAAGACUCAAGCUGUUUGGAGUGGCUAGACCAACAGCAACCAAGCUCUGUCAUUUACGCUGCUUUUGGCAGCUUUACAAUUCUUGACCAAGUUCAGUUUCAAGAAUUAGCAUUGGGACUAGAACUUUGCAACAGACCAUUUUUAUGGGUUGUGAGGCCAGAUAUUACCACCGAUGCAAAUGAUAGAUACCCAGAAGGAUUUCAAGAGAGAGUUGCUGCUCGAGGACGGAUGAUCGGCUGGGCAACUCAGCAGAAGGUUCUUAACCACCCUUCUAUUGCCUGUUUCCUGAGCCAUUGUGGUUGGAAUUCCACCAUGGAAGGUGUCAGCAAUGGCAUUCCUUUCUUGUGCUGGCCAUAUUUUGCUGAACAAUUCCUGAACGAGAGAUACAUUUGUGAUAUUUGGAAGGUGGGAUUGAGGUUUGACAAAAACGAAAGUGGCAUCAAUGGAAGAGAAGAAAUUAAGAACAAGGUGGAGCGAGUGCUCGGUGAUCCAGAUUUUAAAGCAAGGGCUUUGGAACUCAAGGAAAAAGCCAUGAGUAGCGUCAGAGAAGGUGGUUCCUCUCGCAAGACAUUUCAGAAUUUCCUUCAAUGGGUAAAGACAAACACCCUAGCUCAUAAUUCCCCGGUAAUGGGCGGUUAAUUCAAAAAAUACUACCUUCGUGGACAAUUAUAUAAGGAUUCCUUGGCCAUUGUAACAUCUACUUUUUCAGUUUUUUUAUUAAGUUUAUAGAGUUCAGGAAUAUUUUAUUUAACCGAGUUUUAAUUUAAUUUGUUUUCCUAUUUUAUUUAUUAUUAGCUUAUGAGAAGAUACUGGUCAGAUUAGCGGUUAAAAAACUGAGAUAGGAUGCUGGUGUGGGAGGAGACUAAGCCUAAAAGUAGCCGAUAUAAUAUUUAGAUCAAGCUCGAAAUCAUGUUAUUGUUUCUUUUUAUUUUAAGAGGAUGACAUACCUUUUUAUUGUUUCAUACGCCUUGCUGCAGAUGAAGGAAUCUGCACCAGGAAUUCGAUCAGUGCUGUGCAAAAGAAGG
rnacentral:lncRNA from 1 species